AGGGGGGCUGGGAGACUUAUUAACUGUGACCAUACAAGUGUGAGAAUUACAGAAAACUGAAUUUUCUGAGACAGCCAGUCAUGUCAGUGUCAUCCUAUUGCCUACAUAACAACUUGUGGAACAUAGUUAGCUUUCAAGUAUUUGUUGGAUGAACGGAGACAAGGCCUACCAACAUUAAGGACCAGAGAAACAUGCCAACCAAGAAGCUGCUCCUUUCACAAAGGGAAUUUGACAAAAGAAACAAUACAUAAAACUGGACUAUGCAAAAUUCAUUGUUGCUCUGUUUAGUUUCUGAGGUGUGAUUUCUGAGAGGAUAUCACGAUUCAAGAAUAAAUAUUUUCUUCUUUUGAUGAUUA